ACAUGCCUACAACAUAGCGUUAAUGCACCAAAUCCCAUUAGAACUCUGUAGUUAAGCGCGCUUAGGCUAGAGUAGUACUGGGAUGGGUGAUCACUUGGGAAUUCCUAGUGUUUUACAUGCC
rnacentral:rRNA from 1 species